rnacentral:rRNA from 1 species
GACGGAGGAUGCAAGCGUUAUCCGGAAUGAUUGGGCGUAAAGCGUCCGCAGGUGGCAGUUCAAGUCUGCUGUCAAAGACCGGGGCUUAACUUCGGAAAGGCAGUGGAAACUGAACGGCUAGAGUAUGGUAGGGGCAGAGGGAAUUCCUGGUGUAGCGGUGAAAUGCGUAGAGAUCAGGAAGAACAUCGGUGGCGAAGGCGCUCUGCUGGACCAUAACUGACACUCAGGGACGAAAGCUAAGGGAGCGAAUGGG